UGAGGCCAGAUGUACUGCAGGAUGUAGAA
rnacentral:piRNA from 1 species